CCUACGGGAGGCUGCAGUAGGGAAUCUUUCACAAUGGGCGAAAGCCUGAUGGAGCAACGCCGCGUGCAGGAUGAAGGCCUUCGGGUUGUAAACUGCUUUUAUAAGCGAGAAAUAUGAUGGUAACUUAUGAAUAAGGAUCGGCUAACUACGUGCCAGCAGCCGCGGUCAUACGUAGGAUCCGAGCAUUAUCCGGAGUGACUGGGUGUAAAGAGUUGCGUAGGUGGCAUAAUAAGUAGCUAGUGAAAUCUGGUGGCUCAACCAUUCAGACUAUUAGCUAAACUGUUAAGCUCGAGACCGUUAGAGGUAACUGGAAUGUGUAGUGUAGGAGUGAAAUCCGUAGAUAUUAGAAGGAACACCAAUAGCGUAGGCAGGUUGCUGGGACGGUUCUGACACUAAGGCACGAAAGCGUAGGGAGCAAACGGGAUUAGAUACCCCUGUAGUC
rnacentral:rRNA from 1 species